rnacentral:rRNA from 1 species
UACGAAGGGUGCUAGCGUUGUUCGGAAUCACUGGGCGUAAAGCGCGCGUAGGCGGCGACUCAAGUCAGAGGUGAAAGCCCGUGGCUCAACCACGGAAUUGCCUUUGAAACUGUGUUGCUAGAGUGUCGGAGGGGAUAGCGGAAUUCCUAAUGUAGAGGUGAAAUUCGUAGAUAUUAGGAGGAACACCGGUGGCGAAGGCGGCUAUCUGGACGACAACUGACGCUGAGGCGCGAAAGCGCGGGGAUCAAACAGG